rnacentral:rRNA from 1 species
CGUGUAGGCGGCUCAUCGAGUCUGGUGUGAAAAUGCAGGGCUUAACCCUGCAGGUGCGCUGGAAACUGGUGGGCUUGAGUUCUUGAGGGGAAGCUGGAAUUCCAGGUGUAGGGGUGAAAUCUGUAGAUAUCUGGAAGAACACCGGUGGCGAAGGCGAGCUUCUAUCAGAGGACUGACGCUGAGACGCGAAAGCGUGGGGAGCGAACA